rnacentral:piRNA from 1 species
UGGACACAAGAGAUGGAUGGCCUGCCAGAC